rnacentral:rRNA from 1 species
UUUCAACAAUGGAUCUCUUGGCUCUGGCAUCGAUGAAGAACGCAGCGAAA